ensembl:lncRNA
GUUCAAAUAUGGCCCUCAACCAAUAACAAACGGGGAAGGUAUGUGGUAUAAUGGAAACACAGUGGACUAGGAGUUAGAAAAGCUGAGUUCUCACCCUUGAUCGUCAAUAUACAGUGACAUGCCAUCAGCUUGCUAGAUCUUGGUUCCCUGCUGCUGCUGCUGCUGCUGCUGCGUCGCUUCAGUCAUGUCCGACUCUGUGCAACCCCAUAGACUGCAGCCCACCAGGCUCCCCCAUCCCUGGGAUUCUCCAGGCAAGAACACUGGAGUGGGUUGCCAUUUCCUUCUCCAAUGCAUGAAAGUGAAAAGUGAAAGUGAAGUGGCUCAGUCACGUCCGACUCUUCUCAACCCCAUGGACUGCAGCCUACCAGGCUCCUCCAUCCAUGGGAGUUUCCAGGCAAGAGUACUGGAGUGGGGUGCCAUUGCCUUCUCCAAACCCUAACUACUUCUUGCCAAACUAUUCAAACAACUAGUGAUUGUUCCAAAUGAUAUACCCAUCAAGAAAAUAUGUUGCAUUUCCAUCCAACCUGUCCCUGCUUACAGCUGGUAUAGCCAAACUGUUUACUUGGGACAAAUCUAUGAGUGUAGAAUGGGUCAUCUUGUCCUGGUUUUAUAUUGUUUCCAGGACCUAGCUUCCUACUUUAUAGCUAUAAUGCAUGAAUUAGGUUAAGGGAGAAAUGGGGCGUGCUGCUUAGGUAACAAGAAUAGAAAUACCUCUAACGAAUUAUCAAAAACUGCUGCUGCUGCUGCAUCGCUUCAGUCGUGUCCAACUCUGUGCGACCCCAUAGAUGGCAGCCCACCAGGCUCCCCCUUCCCUGGGAUUCUCCAGGCAAGAACACUGGAGUAGGUUGCCAUUUCCUUCUCCAAUGCAUGAAAGUGAAAAGUGAAAGUGAAGUUGCUCAGUCGUAUCUAACUCUUAGCGACUCCAUGGACUGCAGCCUACCAGGCUCCUCCGUCCAUGGGAUUUUCCAGGCAAGAGUACUGAAGUGGUUCGCCAAUGCCUUCUCCAUGUCAAAAAACUACUUAAGCAACAAAAACAAAGAAAUACUACUACCCACCCCCAACACACACAAAUGGUGGCCUAAAUAAACAAGAACUAACUUGCCAUGUAAAAAUACGGAAAGCAUUCCAAAGUUGAUAUGGCAGCUCUAUGGUUAUAAAGAACCGGCAUCUUUCUGUUCUGGAUUCCAUCUUCAUCUCUGCAGGGUCUAAGGUGAUUUCUGAAACUCUAGUCAUCACUCUGAUUUGAUGACUGGAA